rnacentral:rRNA from 1 species
ACGAACGCUGGCGGCAGGCCUAAAGCAUGCAAGUCGAGCGCUCUUAGCAAUAAGAGAGCGGCGCACGGGUGAGUAACACGUGGGAAUGUGCCUUUUGGUACGGAACAACGUCUGGAAACGGACGCUAAUACCGUAUGGUCCCUUCGGGGUAAAGAUUUAUCGCCAAAAGAGCAGCCCGCGUCUGAUUAGCUAGUUGGUGAGGUAAUGGCUCACCAAGGCGACGAUCAGUAGCUGGUCUGAGAGGACGAUCAGCCACACUGGGACUGAGACACGGCCCAGACUCCUACGGGAGGCAGCAGCUAGGAAUAUUGGACAAUGGGCGCAAGCCUGAUCCAGCCAUGCCGCGUGAGUGAUGAAGGCCUUCGGGUUGUAAAGCUCUUUAGUCCAUGAAUAUAAUGACUGUAGUGGAAGAAUAAGCCCCGGCUAACUUCGU